UACGGGGGGGGCAAGCGUUGUUCGGAAUUACUGGGCGUAAAGGGCUCGUAGGCGGCCAACUAAGUCAUACGUGAAAUCCCCGGGCUCAACCCGGGAACUGCGUCCGAUACUGGAAGGCUUGAAUCCGGGAGAGGGAUGUGGAAUUCCAGGUGUAGCGGUGAAAUGCGUAGAUAUCUGGAGGAACACCCGUGGCGAAAGCGGCGCGCUGGACCACUACUGACGCUGAGGAACGAAAGCUAGGGGAGCAAACAGG
rnacentral:rRNA from 1 species